CUGCCUCCACCUUAAAUGGACCAGAGAAUUAGGAGAACGUGUGUAUAUAGGAUUUUUGUUGUACUUUGAUUAUUUGAACUUUGGAAUCCAAUUGAAUUGUCAUGUCAUUACAGGGAAAUUGUCUUAUAUUUAAGUGAUGGUUCUCGUGAGCUUCAUAAUCCAGCUUCUAAUCGAGAGUAACUCACCAACUCGGUUUCUAAAAUCGAUCCACAACUGGAAACUUCCAACGUAUGCAUGAAUAGUCCUGGAAACUUCCAACGUAUUUGCAUGAUAAUUCCUAUAAUAUCCG
rnacentral:lncRNA from 1 species